GGCGCCGUAGCCAAGUGGUAAGGCAGUGGACUGCAAAUCCGCCACGCGUCGGUUCGACUCCGACCGGCGCCU
rnacentral:tRNA from 1 species